rnacentral:rRNA from 1 species
CCUACGGGAGGCUGCAGUGGGGAAUAUUGGACAAUGGGCGAAAGCCUGAUCCAGCCAUGCCGCGUGUGUGAAGAAGGCCUUCGGGUUGUAAAGCACUUUCAGUGGGGAAGAAAGCCUUGGGGCUAAUACCCUCGAGGAAGGACAUCACCCACAGAAGAAGCACCGGCUAACUCCGUGCCAGCAGCCGCGGUAAUACGGAGGGUGCGAGCGUUAAUCGGAAUUACUGGGCGUAAAGCGCGCGUAGGCGGUCUGAUAAGCCGGUUGUGAAAGCCCCGGGCUCAACCUGGGAACGGCAUCCGGAACUGUCAGGCUAGAGUGCAGGAGAGGAAGGUAGAAUUCCCGGUGUAGCAGUGAAAUGCGUAGAGAUCGGGAGGAAUACCAGUGGCGAAGGCGGCCUUCUGGACUGACACUGACGCUGAGGUGCGAAAGCGUGGGUAGCAAACAGGAUUAGAUACCCUUGUAGUC